rnacentral:tRNA from 1 species
UGUAGCUCAGUGGUAGAGCACUUGCCUGGCAUGUGUGAGGCACUGGGUUCGAUUCUUAGCA